rnacentral:rRNA from 1 species
GAUCAUGGCUCAGAUUGAACGCUGGCGGCAGGCCUAACACAUGCAAGUCGAACGGUAACAGGAAACAGCUUGCUGUUUCGCUGACGAGUGGCGGACGGGUGAGUAAUGUCUGGGAAACUGCCUGAUGAGGGGGAUAACUACUGGAAACGGUAGCUAAUACCGCAUAACGUCGCAAGACCAAAGAGGGGGACCCUCGGGCCUCUUGCCAUCGGAUGUGCCCAGAUGGGAUUGGCUUGUUGGUGGGGUAACGGCUCACCAAGGCGACGAUCCCUAGCUGGUCUGAGAGGAUGACCAGCCACACUGGAACUGAGACACGGUCCAGACUCCUACGGGAGGCAGCAGUGGGGAAUAUUGCACAAUGGGCGCAAGCCUGAUGCAGCCAUGCCGCGUGUAUGAAGAAGGCCUUCGGGUUGUAAAGUACUUUCAGCGGGGAGGAAGGGAGUAAAGUUAAUACCUUUGCCCAUUGACGUUACCCGCAGAAGAAGCACCGGCUAACUCCGUG